ensembl:snoRNA SNORA62 Small nucleolar RNA SNORA62/SNORA6 family
GCUGCGUAUUGGUAGAGCUUGGAGUUGAGGCCACCAACUGGCCAAUGAACUCACAAGUGUAGGUAGUGUGCUACAUAUAAGGGCAAGUUUUUUACUAACACCACAAGGGUCUCUAGCCCAAUGAGUGGAGUUCGAUAGCAAUCCUUGCUAAAGUG